rnacentral:rRNA from 1 species
CAGCAGCCGCGGUAAUACGUAGGUGGCAAGCGUUGUCCGGAAUUAUUGGGCGUAAAGGGCUCGCAGGCGGUUUCUUAAGUCUGAUGUGAAAGCCCCCGGCUCAACCGGGGAGGGCCAUUGGAAACUGGGAAACUUGAGUGCAGAAGAGGAGAGUGGAAUUCCACGUGUAGCGGUGAAAUGCGUAGAGAUGUGGAGGAACACCAGUGGCGAAGGCGACUCUCUGGUCUGUAGCUGACGCUGAGGAGCAAAAGCGUGGGGAGCGAACAGGAUUAGAUACCCCUGUAGUCCCUGUCUCUUAUAC